GAGAGAAGCUUGCUUCUCUGCUGACGAGCGGCGGACGGGUGAGUAAUACUUGGGAAUUUGCCUUUAGGCGGGGGACAACCACUGGAAACGGUGGCUAAUACCGCAUAAUGUCUACGGACCAAAGUGGGGGACCUUCGGGCCUCACACCUAAAGAUGAGCCCAAGCGGGAUUAGCUAGUUGGUGAGGUAAAGGCUCACCAAGGCGACGAUCCCUAGCUGUUCUGAGAGGAUGAUCAGCCACACUGGGACUGAGACACGGCCCAGACUCCUACGGGAGGCAGCAGUGGGGAAUAUUGCACAAUGGGCGCAAGCCUGAUGCAGCCAUGCCGCGUGUGUGAAGAAGGCCUUCGGGUUGUAAAGCACUUUCAGUGGUGAGGAAAGGGUGAUCGUUAAUAGCUAUCACAGUUGACGUUAGCCACAGAAGAAGCACCGGCUAACUCCGUGCCAGCAGCCGCGGUAAUACGGAGGGUGCAAGCGUUAAUCGGAAUUACUGGGCGUAAAGCGUACGUAGGCGGUGUGUUAAGCUAGAUGUGAAAGCCCCGGGCUCAACCUGGGAAUUGCAUUUAGAACUGGCACGCUAGAGUCCUGAAGAGGGUGGUAGAAUUUCCAGUGUAGCGGUGAAAUGCGUAGAUAUUGGAAGGAAUACCGGUGGCGAAGGCGGCCACCUGGUCAGAGACUGACGCUGA
rnacentral:rRNA from 1 species